rnacentral:rRNA from 1 species
UAGAUGGUAAGACGGACUACGUAUGUCGUAGCUGUAGCAAAUGGUUAGAUCUCACGUAUGAACUCCGGUUUGAAACGCAGCCUUACUAAGCAGUGACGUACAUCGACAGCUCGAAAAGUGUGCGUAUCAAACAGGAUUUGAUAGCGAGGUAGUCCACACUGUAACACGAUGAUUUCGCAUUCGUUUGCGAUAUACUGCAAGCGGCCAAGCGAAAGCGUUAAGUAUUCCACCUGGGGAGUACGCCGGCUUUCGGUGAAACUCAAAGGAAUUGACGGGGGCUCCGCACAAGCGGAGGAACUUGUGGUUUAAUUCGGUUCUCGGGGGGGUUUGUUCCUGGGUCUUGAUUUGCGUUUGCUUCAUGUUUAACCCGUUUAGGUGGAGGGGCGGUGUGGUCUUAGCUUGCUAAGGUCCGAUGGCGACCGGGCGCACGGGUGAGUAACACGUAUCCAACCUGCCGUUUACUCUUGGAUAGCCUUUCUGAAAAGGAGAUUAAUACAAGAUGGCGUCGUGGUUUUUCAUGAAAGCGUGACUAAAGGAGCAAUCCGGUAAACGAUGGGGAUGCGUUCCAUUAGAUAGUAGGCGGGGUAACGGCCCACCUAGUCAACGAUGGAUAGGGGUUCUGAGAGGAAGGUCCCCCACAUUGGAACUGAGACACGGUCCAAACUCCUACGGGAGGCAGCAGUGAGGAAUAUUGGUCAAUGGACGAGAGUCUGAACCAGCCAAGUAGCGUGAAGGAUGACUGCCCUAUGGGUUGUAAACUUCUUUUAUAAAGGAAUAAAACGAGGCACGUGUGCCUUUUUGCAUGUACUUUAUGAAUAGUGACCGGGUUACUUCGUGCCGGUAGCCGGUGUAGUUGGGAUGCUCCGCGUUUUCUCGGGUUUUUUUGGGUUUCUGGUUAGUGUUGUUGGUUUGUUAAUUGGGUUUUGAUAGUUUGUGUCUCGCCUUUCACCUUUCCAUUGCUAUUGGCCUUCUUGAGUGUAGUUGGGGUAGGCGGAAUUCGUGGUGUAGCGGUGAAAUGCUUAGAUAUCACGAAGAACCCCGAUUGCGAAGGCAGCUUACUAAACUGUGACUGACAUUGAUGCUCGAAAGUGUGGGUAUCAAACAGGAUUAGAUACCCUGGUAGUCCACACGGUAAACGAUGAAUACUCGCUGUUUGCGAUAUACUGCAAGCGGCCAAGCGAAAGCGUUAAGUAUCCACCUGGAGAGCGAGG